AGUGUUUGUAAUCCAUUCACUUUAAUCCCUAUCACCUGGCUUUAAAAAAUAGAUUCCAAGGAAGAACAUGUUUCUAGAAUUUUGUUCAGACUGUCGCCAAACUCUGAAGAAUAUAUCUGUAUUUAACUAGAUCACAUAUUCUAAAGCCAAGACGAUAUUCUCACGAUCGGUCAGUGUUACUUUGGAUAUUGUCGUUUCUGAUGUGGGUUUGAGGGGAGUACUUCCCAGCAGAGAAAAGAAAAUCUCUGGCCACUUCUUCCAUUGAUAUAUACUCAUUUUGUUUUUGCACAACCAAGCUAGCUUUUGGUUUUAUGUUUGGCUUUAUAGAGAUUCAAAACAUGAAAUCCUCAGAGUGUCCAUCACAAAGAAAUCCAGAGAAACUCUCUGAACCCUUUUAUCUCUAUGUAGGCACCCAGACCACUGUGAGUGGUAGAGCAUCAAAGCACAUAUGGCUGUAUGCAGUGUGUGUUAAGAAUGUGGAACCUAUUAACUACGGAAUGAGAAGUUUUUCACCAGCUCUAAUACAGUUAAUUUUUAAAGCUAUUUACUGAACACAAAGAAUUUUGAUUGAGUACUUGGUAGUAUGUGUAUUUCUCUACCACUCAUUCAUUACCAUAUGCAUUGUAUUUCUGUUAAAGUAUGCGGAAAUGGACUGUAUAAAAGACCUUUAUGUUACUCACAGUGCCUAGAAUAUUUUUUUGUUUCUCUUGUCAUCUUUUGAAAAUUGCUACCACUUAUUAUUUCACAUAUCUGUUUUCAAGUGCACUGAG